GAUGAACGCUGGCGGCGUGCCUAAUACAUGCAAGUCGAGCGAACGCACGAGUAGUUUGCUUCUCUGAUGUUAGCGGCGGACGGGUGAGUUACACCUGGAUAUCCUACCUAUAAGACUGUGAUAACUUCGGGAACCCGUUGCUAAUACCGGCUGAUAUUUUGAACCACAUGGUUCAAUAGUGAAAGACGGUCUUGCUGUUACUUAUUGAUUGAUCCGCGCUGCAUUAGCUAGUUGGUAAGGUAACGGCUUACCAAGGCAACGAUGCAUAGCCGACCUGAGAGGGUGAUCGGCCACACUGGAACUGAGACACGGUCCAGAAUCCUAAGGGAGGCAGCAGUAGGGAAUCUUCGGCAAAGGGCGAAAGCCUGACGGAGCAACGCCGCGUGAGUGAAGAAGGUCUUCGGAUCGUAAAACUAUGUUAUUAGGGAAGAACAUAUGUGGAAGUAACUGUGCAGGGCUUGAAGGUACCGAAUCAGAAAGCCACGGCUAACUACGUG
rnacentral:rRNA from 1 species